AAAAACAUAGCCCAGGGAAAAUAUCCUGGGUGCGCCCUGCCCAGUGAACACUUGGUUUUAACGGCCGCAGUACCCUGACUGUGCUAAGGUAGCAUAAUCAGUUGGCUUUUAAUUGAAGUCUGGAAUGAACGGGUUUAUUGGGGUCUACUGUCUCCUUAUUAUUGAUUAUAAAUUAUACUAGGGGUGAAAAUACCCCUAUAAAAAGAAAGGACGAGAAGACCCUAGGAGUCUAUAUUAAUGAUAAAUGGUAGUUUUCUAAAUUUUUGUUGGGGCGACAAGGGGCCAACAGAACGCUCCUAUGGGUAUAAAUUACCUGCCGGAUUUUUCAAGACCGAAAAGACUACCCUAGGGAUAACAGCUUAAUACUAACAUGUGUUUGAGACCUCGAUGUUGGACUAGGGACCAUAAGACUAGCAGUCUUUUUGGCCGGUUCUGUUCGAACCCACGACCCUACGUGAUCUG
rnacentral:rRNA from 1 species